ACCGGUGAGACCAGUCCUGACUCGGUCCUGACUCCCCUUGGAUCCACAGGUGAGACCGGUCCUGACUCGGUCCCGACUUCCCUCAGAUCCCGGUCCUGACUCCGGUGUAAGACGCUGUGACGGAGUCCUGAAACCACAUGCCCACCGACCCCAGGUCCGCCGGGGCAGAAUGAGCAGCUCCGUCUCUCCGGACGUGUCCUCGACACAGGACGGGGGACAGGGUCUCUGAGUCGGCCUGGAGGGAGCCCAGCAGCUUGUUGUGGUGACAGAAAGUCUCUCUCCCGGGAGACGAGGACUCUGCGAUGAGUCAGGCUGAGGACCAGGAUGAGGGGGUCCCUCUGUGGGGGGGACAGGACGACCAGACCAGAGCAAGAAGGUGCUGCAGCAGAGACCAGACCCUCCUGAACCCAGCUGCGUCUCCAUGAAGACUACCCGGUCCAUGACUCCGCCAC